rnacentral:rRNA from 1 species
GGGUUGUGAGGUUAAGCGACUAAGCGUACACGGUGGAUGCCCUGGCAGUCAGAGGCGAUGAAGGACGUGCUAAUCUGCGAUAAGCGUCGGUAAGGUGAUAUGAACCGUUAUAACCGGCGAUUUCCGAAUGGGGAAACCCAGUGUGAUUCGUCACACUAUCGUUAACUGAAUACAUAGGUUAACGAAGCGAACCGGGGGAACUGAAACAUCUAAGUACCCCGAGGAAAAGAAAUCAACCGAGAUUCCCCCAGUAGCGGCGAGCGAACGGGGAGGAGCCCAGAGCCUGAAUCAGCAUGUGUGUUAGU